AAAGAGGAACGAACUCGCGGGGAUUUCCCAUGGCCAGUCGUUUUACUGUUAAAUACAUGGUUUAGUGUAUUUGGACAAAAGCUCGCUUGAAAAUAAGAAACAUUUUCUUGACCCCCAGUGUCCUCAUUUUGCAGAUGAAGAAGCAGAAUUCUGGAGAGAAGAGCUGAGAUGGGGAAGAGCCAUGGGAUGAAUGGCUACUGCACAGACACUGUGUUGAGGAGGCUGUGGAAAUAUGGCACUGGCAGUGACUGACUUUGGACACUAGUGGACUCAUUGUGAGUGGCUGGACACAACCCAAGCCACCAGUGAAACCAGGAAGACAUACUGGACAACCUCUUGGGAACAGAAGGUCUAUAAAAGGGCUAGGAAAUGGGCUGGAGAAUGGGACUCUCAGUUAUGUGGUUUUGUGACCAAAAUGGGAAGGCAAACAGGAAGCAAGUGGGGUGACAGGGGCAGCAACCAUUGGGAUAGGAAGCAAUUCUAGGAUGAUUUCCCAAGGGUAGAGACGUGCCAGCAGUAGCUUGAUGACACAUUUUGUAUUUUAUCAGAGAACCUUAAUGUUUCCCCUGGUAACCUACCCCCAGAGCCACUGUCUAGGGGCUUCCUGAGUCUGUCUUUAGGGGCAACAAUGCCUUUCAGGUUAAUUGGAGUUUUACCAGGGUCAGAUGGUAGCUGAAUCUGAAAUAUCUCCAUGAUAACUGCUAUUGCUCACCAUUUCUGUGUCUGGGCUCCACGUCGACAGAACUUACAUUUAGAAUUUUUUUUUCUAUCUA